UGGAUUCUUUAUACCAGACUG
rnacentral:piRNA from 1 species